GGACUUUUAUUUUGAAGAGAAGAAGAGGACUUUUCUGGUCGCUGUAUCUGUGUUCAGACAGAGAGCAUUGGCACUUUUAUUUUGAAGAGAAGAAGAGGACUUUUCUGGUCGCUGUAUCUGUGUUCAGACAGAGAGCAUUGGCACUUUUAUUUUGAAGAGAAGAAGAGGACUUUUCUGGUCGCUGUAUCUGUGUUCAGACAGAGAGCAUUGGCACUUUUAUUUUGAAGAGAAGAAGAGGACUUUUCUGAUCGCUGUAUCUGUGUUCAGACAGAACGCAUUGAGACUUUUAUUUUGAAGAGAAGAAGAGGACUUUUCUGAUCGCUGAAUCUGUGUUCGGAGAGAGCAUUGGGACUUUUAUUUUGAAGAGAAGAGGACUUUUCAGGUCGCUGUAUCUGUGUUCAGACAGUGUUCGCCUCGUGGGUUAGUCAACCUUCCUGUGUUUAAUCGGGACGGCUCGUGCAGUGGCAACAUUAGUCUUUUAGUGCGGGAGGAAUCAGAUGACAAUCAAGUCUCAGGACCUUUAAGCAUCAGCAGGCGUUAGUUCAAGUGUUAUUGUGUGGUAGUUUAACUAAUAGGGUUGUGUAUGUGUAACUUAUUACACUGUGUUUUAUCUGCAUUGAACUGAUAAUGUGGCCUGUGCCGCAUGUAACUGUGUGUUUCAAUGUUCAUUUAUUAUUAAAAAUGGAUCUUUGUCAAGAAAAAUAAACAAAAUAUUUGGAAGA